rnacentral:sRNA from 1 species
UAAAAAAUGGGUAUAAGUGUUGUAUGAACACUCCUAAUCCAUCUGUAACUCUUAUAAUUAGCCAAAGGCUUUCGAUUGUGACACAUUUUGACCAUAGAAACACUAACAAAGCUAUUUACUGCUUCUAAGCAUUUUUUUGUUGGUUCUAGCCGCUUGUGGGAGAAAAUGGGUAUAAGUGUUGUCUAAACACUCUUAAUCCAUCUUUAACUCUUAUAAUUAGUCAAAUGCAUUGGAUUGUGACACAUGUUGACAAUCAAAACACUAACGAACUAUUAAUUGCUU